rnacentral:rRNA from 1 species
GAUCCUGGCUCAGGAUGAACGCUAGCUACAGGCUUAACACAUGCAAGUCGAGGGGCAGCAUGGUCUUAGCUUGCUAAGACUGAUGGCGACCGGCGCACGGGUGAGUAACACGUAUCCAACCUGCCGUCUACUCUUGGACAGCCUUCUGAAAAGGAAGAUUAAUACAAGAUGGCAUCAUGAGUCCGCAUGUUCACAUGAUUUAAAGGUAUUCCGGUAGACGAUGGGG